AACGAACGCUGGCGGCAUGCCUAACACAUGCAAGUCGAACGAGACCUUCGGGUCUAGUGGCGCACGGGUGCGUAACGCGUGGGAAUCUGCCCUCAGGUACGGAAUAACUCAGGGAAACUUGAGCUAAUACCGUAUAAUGACUUCGGUCCAAAGAUUUAUCGCCUGGGGAUGAGCCCGCGUCGGAUUAGCUAGUUGGUGAGGUAAAGGCUCACCAAGGCGACGAUCCGUAGCUGGUCUGAGAGGAUGAUCAGCCACACUGGGACUGAGACACGGCCCAGACUCCUACGGGAGGCAGCAGUGGGGAAUAUUGGACAAUGGGCGCAAGCCUGAUCCAGCAAUGCCGCGUGAGUGAUGAAGGCCUUAGGGUUGUAAAGCUCUUUUACCCGGGAAGAUAAUGACUGUACCGGGAGAAUAAGCCCCGGCUAACUCCGUGCCAGCAGCCGCGGUAAUACGGAGGGGCUAGCGUUGUCGAAUUACUGGGCGUAAAGCGCACGCG
rnacentral:rRNA from 1 species